AACGAUUCUUAAUCGUUGAUCAACCAUCUGAUCAGAUCAUAAACUCUAAUGUGUGUGACCUCAUAGGUCCAAACUUAAGCCGAUAGUAUAGAAAUAAAUUUUUAUACCAAUUGAAGUGACUAUCUAGCAAUGGUACUCGACGAUCGGGUAGGUCGAAUGUGUAGAACAACAUCCUUAGAACCGAUGCGGAUAUAGUUUCCAUAUAAUUCAUUCUCUUGACCAAAAUGCUCAUAGGAUACCUCAAAGUU
rnacentral:lncRNA from 1 species